rnacentral:tRNA from 1 species
UCCCUGGUGACUUAAAUGGUAAAGAAUCUGCUUGCAAUGCAGGAGACUUAGGUUUGAUCCCUGGGUUGGGAA